GGGGAAUUUUGGACAAUUGGGGGAAACCCUGAUCCAGCCAUGCCGCGUGCAGGAUGAAGGCCUUCGGGUUGUAAACUGCUUUUGUACGGAACGAAAAGGUUCUCUCGAAUAAAGAGGGCUCAUGACGGUACCGUAAGAAUAAGCACCGGCUAACUACGUGCCAGCAGCCGCGGUAAU
rnacentral:rRNA from 1 species